rnacentral:lncRNA from 1 species
GGCUCGAAAACUUUCCACCUCCCAGUCUCUCGCUACUCUCUUUGUAUGUAUAUUUUUCUUAUUAUUAUUUAACCCCUAAAAAAUAAUAAUAAAGCCAUGCCCUGUUUUAAGUAUUUUAACUCCAGAUCACCGCUACCCUUUUCGAUUGAUCUGAGCCCCAUAACGCAUGUCGAGGCUCUGCCUGACUAAGUUCAUUGGGGUUCUGUCUCGUGACAUAGGGACAAGGUUGAAUUAGGGGUACUAUACUUACCACGAGUGCAUUAUAUAUUUUUAAUAGCUUAGAAGUUAUACCCAAGAUUUAUACCAGGAGAUUUUCUAGUUGAACCCUAAAGUUACAAAGUAAGUCCAUUCUCUUUUCUCACCAAAACUCUUAAUUAUUAUUUUAUUUUGUCCAAAAGGAAACCCUAAUUGAGACCCCCAAGUAAUCUUGCAUAAACCCUAAAAUUUUCAGAACAAUCAGAAUCAGGAUCAGAGCCCCUAAAACUCAGGGGGGGGGGGUAUUCCCUAGUUAGUAAUAUCCACAUUAUUUGUUGUCGAAAUUGAAUUUUCAUGAACCGCUGACUCACCUGAGCUACAAACACACGUGGCUACCCUAUGAUAGGAUGUGACCCUUCGCGUCACGCGACGCCCAUACAUGACCCCUCGCGUCACGCGAGGGGGUCAAAUUCUUAGUAUAAAUAGAGGGGUUUGGGACUUGAAUUUCUGCGUUUGUUCGACGUAAAAAUUCAUUUUCUACGUUGAGUUAUCUUUUGUUUACUACCAAACACACACAUAAGCUCGAAUUCUGCUACGAUCCCAAGUAUUAACUCGAUCGCUGAUACGAUUCAAUGUCCGAUCGAUUGAAGCUAUCCAAUGGAUGUUUAAGUGCUGCCCACAUUAGGGUUAUGCUUUGUCAUUCGUCGUGAUUCCGACAGGAUGUUUGAGUGUCGCCCGAACUCGGGCUAUACUUUGUCAUUCGUUGCGAAUCCGCUGGAUGUUUAAGUAUCGCACUUUGUCAUUCGUUGUGAGGUUAUCAGGCUUAUCAGUAGGCUAAACUCUACCCCAUACACUUACAAUCAAAGUAGAUGCUAAUUCUCAAAAGAAUUUGAAUCAGGAAGCAUGUUAAAUCAAUACUGCAUGCUUAUAAUGUGAGUCAUUCUCUUUUUACCAAACUUGCUUUCAAAAUCAUGUUUGUUUUCAAAGUUAUAAUUACAGGGAUUAAGUCUUUGUAGUCUUCAUUACAGCCGGUAUGUGGGGUUUUGUAUACAUUACUUGUUAUCCGUCACCAUUGGACAACGGGUUAGCCAAGGGGUGAAAUGACCAUAGUCACAGACACCAUUGGACAACGAGAUAGCCAAUAGGUGGUCGAGUGCCAAAUACCGUGGGUAUAUGGUUGACAUGUAUAAACAUUGUAAUCGCUCUUAAUACUGUAAAUUAUAACUAUGGGUCAUUUUGUGCAAACUGAAUGAACUCACUCAGUAUUUCCUGCUGACAAAAGCUUUUUAAAAUGCAUUUCAGGUAAUUACAGUAGAUUGGAAUAAGAGUUGGAUACGGCAUCAAAAGGCUUACUGAAGUUGCUUGAUUUAUUAAUUAAAUUAAAUUAAGAAAAGUUGUUUUAUGUAAUUGGGUUUAUCCCAUAUGAAAAGCUACCUUUGUUAAACAUGAGUUUAUCCCAUCUCUU